AGUCGGGCACAGUCGGGCACGCCGACUUUACGUCGUCAAUAAAAUUUUCCAAAUAAUCCAAAUUAAUUUUCUACAGCUAUCAGCACUCACACUGCCAAAGAACGGAUGAUAACUGGGAGGAGGAGGAACUUUUGCUCUUCCACAAGGUUGAUUCGGAGAUUAGGUUUAUAUUUCUAUGUCCAAGUCAUUUACCAGCGCGGUCCAAAAGGCGUGCUAAUGGUUGGACGAUACGUGGUGGGCGAAGGGUCCUACAGAGGGGUACGUAUUUGCACAGACGAAGGGUGGUGCACAAAGACCUGAAGCCGGGCGACCUGCUGACCAUGGACGGCACCCUGAAGAUCUCCGACUUUGGAGUGGCCUAGGUCGUCGGCCUCUUCGACCCUGAGGACUCGUCCCAGGACAGUCAGGGCAUGCAAGUCUUCCAGCCACCUGAAAUCGCCAACGGGGCCAAAACUUUCUCAAGGGUUCAAGGAAAUCCUUUUACCUCUUUCUGGCCUGGGUUUUGCAUUAGCCAGUUGUGACUCGUCAGAAUAUUUGGACUAAUUAUUCGAAGAGGGUGACGUCAUCUCAAUCGUCAUAUUUUGCACUGGAAAACUCCCUCGGUCGCUUUGGUUGGAGACAGCGGAAGUGGAGAAAGCACGCUCUCAAUGUUAUUGCGACAAGAUCCUAAUUUGGUUGUCAUCGAAAAUGAGGGUGGCGAAUUCGUCUUCAAGGACAAGGAAGACCGCAAUUUAUCUGCUUUGGAAACUGAUCACUGAGCGUAUGGACCUUAAAAAAUUCACAGCAAUGCCUGUUUUAUAUUAAAGAAAUGAUAUUUGUUUUAGCUGUGUGAUGGUUUUAUCUACAAUUUUACUUUGUAGAUCAAUUUGAGAUUUAAAUUGGAUUAAAAUAAAUCUCUCAAAAUGGCACCUAUAACUUUAGCACACAACUUAAAAUAUAGAAUGCAAUUAGAAUGAUUACUAUAUGAAAUAAAUUCUACAGUGAGAUUCAC